CUACAAUGGCGCAUACAAAGAGAAGCGACCUCGCGAGAGCAAGCGGACCUCAUAAAGUGCGUCGUAGUCCGGAUUGGAGUCUGCAACUCGACUCCAUGAAGUCGGAAUCGCUAGUAAUCGUGGAUCAGAAUGCCACGGUGAAUACGUUCCCGGGCCUUGUACACACCGCCCGUCACACCAUGGGAGUGGGUUGCAAAAGAAGUAGGUAGCUUAACCUUCGGGAGGGCGCUUACCACUUUGUGAUUCAUGACUGGGGUGAAGUCGUAACAAGGUAACCGUAGGGGAACCUGCGGUUGGAUCACCUCCUU
rnacentral:rRNA from 1 species